CUACGGGGUGCAGCAGCAGGGAAUAUUGCACAAUGGACGGAAGUCUGAUGCAGCGACGCCGCGUGGAUGAUGAAUGCCCUCGGGUUGUAAAAUCCUUUUCAGGGGGACGAGGAAGGACGGUACCCUUGGAAUAAGCGUCGGCUAACUACGUGCCAGCAGCCGCGGUAAGACGUAGGACGCAAGCGUUAUCCGGAUUUACUGGGCGUAAAGCGUCUGUAGGCGGAAUGGUAAGUUGGACGUGAAAGCUCCGGGCUCAACCCGGAGAGGUCGUUCAAUACUGCCAAACUAGAGGGCAUCAGAGGAGCGUGGAAUUUCCGGUGUAGCGGUAAGAUGCGCAGAUAUCGGAAGGAACACCAAUGGCGAAGGCAGCGCUCUGGGAUGAACCUGACGCUAAGAGACGAAAGCUAGGGGAGCGAACAGGAUUAGAUACCCCCGUAGUC
rnacentral:rRNA from 1 species